rnacentral:rRNA from 1 species
CCAGACUCCUACGGGAGGCAGCAGUGGGGAAUAUUGCGCAAUGGGGGGAACCCUGGCGCAGCAACGCCGCGUGCAGGAAGAAGGUCUUCGGAUUGUAAACUGUUGUCGCAGGGGAAGAAGACAGUGACGGUACCCUGUGAGAAAGUCACGACUAACUACGUGCCAGCAGCCGCGGUAAUACGGAGGAUGCGAGCGUUAUCCGGAUUUAUUGGGUUUAAAGGGUGCGUAGGCGGGCUGUUAAGUCAGCGGUCAAAUGUCGGGGCUCAACCCCGGCCUGCCGUUGAAACUGGCGGCCUCGAGUGGGCGAGAAGUAUGCGGAAUGCGUGGUGUAGCGGUGAAAUGCAUAGAUAUCACGCAGAACUCCGAUUGCGAAGGCAGCAUACCGGCGCCCGACUGACGCUGAGGCACGAAAGCGUGGGUAUCGAACAGGAUUAGAUACCCCCGUA